rnacentral:rRNA from 1 species
UACGGGGGGAGCAAGCGUUGUUCGGAUUUACUGGGCGUAAAGCGUGCGCAGGCGGCUCCUUAAGUCAGAUGUGAAAUCCCCGGGCUUAACCGUGGGAACUGGCGUUUGAAACUUGGGGGGCUUGGAGUGUGGAAGAGGGGGGUGGGAAGUUCCAGGUGUAGCGGUGAAAGUGACGUAGAGAUCUGGAGGAACACCGAUGGCGAAGGCAGCCCCUGGGCGUAACACUGACGCUCAUGCACGAAACGCGUGGGGAGCGAACAGGAUUAGAUACC